AAGUCGUAACAAGGUUUCCGUAGGUGAGGAUCAUUAACACGUAUCCAAACGUUAAAGGUCGCCCGCUCGCAUGGACAAGCCCAGUAAAUCAAGCCCCGGACAGUUUUUGAUUUGGGACCUCUGUGCGCGUGAGAAAAACUGACAGCGAUUCAUAGAAGCGGUAGGUCAAGUGACACGGCGUCCCCAAGUGACCAGUGAAUGAAAGUGUCGCUGGAGCGUCAAGGACGACUCUUCAAGAUUGCUACACCGACCGGCUUCCGUGUUUCCUGAGCUUAAAAUCGCUCCCUUCCGAACCCCACUUUAUUGCCUUGCCUGUAAGCAUCCAUACGGAUCCCCGAACAACUGUUAACAAUGGAUAUCUUGGUUCUC
rnacentral:misc_RNA from 1 species